rnacentral:lncRNA from 1 species
UUGGUGUAAACUAUCAUUGUGUUCCUUAAAACCCAAAAUUAAGAAUGUAUCUUACAACUUUUCAAAAAAGAAAAGUAUGCACCAUUUUGGGAGAAAUUAUUACAAAAUUUUCAGUUUCAAGUUUUUAAUUUGCAAUGUACCAAUUUGUCUUCAGAGAUUUCUCUCCAUUUUAGUAUGUCCUCACCACCUAGGAACAUUUUAACUGAACACGAAAUCUAUGUAAGAUCAUGUUUGACAACCCAUUUUACAUAAUCUCUUAGUGUGUCCUACUGUCAGAUUCCUUCCUGGAAUAUCCUGUUUUUUUCUAAGAUAGAUUAGGAAGUGUCAGGGAAAACAGGGUUAUUUUGGAGAUUGAAGGCACAAAUCGCUAAAGGUUUUCCCCAUGAGAUUUUCUGACUUCUGUUUUGGUUCCAGGCCUGGGCAGGAAACCUGUCCUCCCUAUAUGAAAUUUAUUUGAUUGUUGCCCAAUCUGGAGUGCAUUUUAUCAAUUCAUUUCCAUUAAUAAGUUAUUGUUUAAGGGUGAAUUCUGAACAUGUCUGCAUGUGCAUUUUCCAAGCAAACCAGCAAGCAUUUUUGUGCUUAAGUGUGUUAGACACUGUUAAAGAUUAUGAUGAGGAUUGAUGGUACUGUAUGUGCCUUGGAGGAGCUGUACAUCUGUUGGAAGAGUAGGCAUAAGCAGUUUUCAGAUGAUGCAGUUCCAUUCAAAUUAAUAUUUAUAGUUGCAAUAUCAUUUGUAUAAAAUGAAUAUUUUAGCAUUUAUCUCUCUGCAAGCCAAAAUUUUCAGUUUCUUUAAUUUUUAAAUUUUGAACUUUUAAUUAUUUUCUAAUAAUUUGAGGAAAUAUUGUCCCUAACAUUUUCCAAAAAUGUAUUUUUACUGAUACACUAAUAACAGUAUAAUAUUUCAAAAUGCUUCUUUAAAAAGAUAACUUUAAGAUUAAAGGAUAAUUUAUGUAAUGCCAGAAUUAGCAGCAAUAGUAAUUCAGUACAUAGUCUUUCAUCAUUCAGUUUAUGAAAAGCAUAAUGCCUUAACUUAAUUUCCUAACUGGAAAUUCAGAUAUAAGAAUCUAAUUAGUUGGGCUUUUAAAAUGUAAAGUCACAAUACAGAGUAGUCUGGAAGAGCAUUUGAAGGGAUUAGUACCUCAUAAACUUGAAACAAGCAUUUAUGUAAACAUUCAUGCAAAUUGUUGAUUUUGCAUCUUUUUGUUUAAAGAAUAUUAGCUGUAUGUAUACAAACAUAUAAUCUACACACACACUUGAAUAAACACUCAGAAAAGCUGUAAUUUGAAAUAGCAAAUAUCUAUGUUCACAUUUAUCCCAAGUUACAUCACAAUGCAGCCUUAUAUUUUGCUGAAGUUAAAUGAGUUGCUACUGUCAAAUAUGAUAAAACUAUCUUUUUUAGAGUCUCAUAUUAUGGCUAAUUAUUUCAUGGUAAAAAUUUGGUACAAAGUUCCUGUGCUACUGUACUGAUUAUGUCAAAAAAGUUUAUUUCCUCAUCCACUUGGAAAUUCAUUUCCUGCAUUAAGUAGUUAUAUUUAAUAAAUGUACAACAAUGGGUGUGUAUCUAUAUGGUCCAUAAAUGGUUCCAAAAUAGAUGAAAAUGUAAAAUCAUGGAGUAUAAAUAUUCAACUUGAUAAAUAUGAGAGAAAUAUGUCUUGCAAAAAUACUACAUUUUAUUGUCUAAAAUCUUCUGACCUUUCCUUCUGUUCCUCAAAAAUGGAAUAUAGAAAAAAAUAGCUGCAUGUGAGUUCAGUUGUGACAAACUAGCAUUUUUUUCGAUAGCUUUCUGAAGUACAUUAAUUGUUUUUAAAUUGAGUGUAACUGAACACAUACUAAGAUACUCCAGAAUUCCAAAAGAAUACACUUCAAGGCAGGAACCAUUAUUUUCCACUGGAAGAAUUAGACACAAACUGGAAGAAUUAGACACAAAUUGGAGAUGACGAAACUGGUGGGGGUGGGAAGAGGCAGCUCAUGAAGGUCAUUGGCGACAACUGUUUCUGGGAACGUUGUUCACCAAUUUGAUGAGCAAUAAAUUUUAACAUGUAUUAUAUUCUGUUAUUUCCACAGAAAAUUUUGUGUGAUGCAUGCUCUUUGGGGAUCUAAAAAAUUAAAAAUAUCCUUGUGUCUGAAACAUAAUCCUCUAAAGAAAAAAAAUUGCCAAAAAAUUAUUUAAUACCUUUCCUAUUUUGCCUCUUUUUUUACUUUCUUCCUUUAGCC